rnacentral:rRNA from 1 species
UACGGAGGAUCCGAGCGUUAUCCGGAUUUAUUGGGUUUAAAGGGUGCGUAGGUGGUUUGAUAAGUCAGCGGUGAAAGUUUGCAGCUUAACUGUAAAAAUGCCGUUGAAACUGUCGGACUUGAGUGUAAAUGAGGUAGGCGGGAUGCGUGGUGUAGCGGUGAAAUGCAUAGAUAUCACGCAGAACUCCGAUUGCGAAGGCAGCUUACUAAGCUACAACUGACACUGAAGCACGAAAGCGUGGGGAUCAAACAGGAUUAGAUACCCUGGUAGUCCACGCAGUAAACGAUGAUUACUAGCUGUUUGCGAUACACAGUAAGCGGCACAGCGAAAGCGUUAAGUAAUCCACCUGGGGAGUACGCCGGCAACGGUGAAACUCAAAGGAAUUGACGGGGGCCCGCACAAGCGGAGGAACAUGUGGUUUAAUUCGAUGAUACGCGAGGAACCUUACCCGGGUUUGAACGUAGGGAGACAGGGGUGGAAACAUCCUUUUCAGCAAUGACUGCCUACGAGGUGCUGCAUGGUUGUCGUCAGCUCGUGCCGUGAGGUGUCGGCUUAAGUGCCAUAACGAGCGCAACCCUUAUUUCCAGUUACUAACAGGUCAAGCUGAGGACUCUGGAGAGACUGCCAGCGUAAGCUGUGAGGAAGGUGGGGAUGACGUCAAAUCAGCACGGCCCUUACAUCCGGGGCGACACACGUGUUACAAUGGUAAGGACAAAGGGCAGCUACCGGGCGACCGGAUGCGAAUCUCUAAACCUUAUCUCAGUUCGGAUCGGAGUCUGCAACUCGACUCCGUGAAGCUGGAUUCGCUAGUAAUCGCGCAUCAGCCAUGGCGCGGUGAAUACGUUCCCGGGCCU